CGCCUUGCCAGCCCGCUCAGAAACUCAAAGGAAUUGACGGGGGCCCGCACAAGCGGUGGAGCAUGUGGUUUAAUUCGAUGAUACGCGAGGAACCUUACCUGGGCUCAAAUGUAUGUUGACGUAUUUCUGAAAGGGAUACUUCUUCGGACAAUAUACAAGGUGCCGCAUGGUUGUCGUCAGCUCGUGCCGUGAGGUGUCGGGUUAAGUCCCAUAACGAGCGCAACCCUACCUUUAGUUGCCAUCAGGUAAUGCUGGGGACUCUAAAGGAACUGCCUACGCAAGUAGUGAGGAAGGCGGGGAUGACGUCAAAUCAGCACGGCCCUUACGUCCAGGGCUACACACGUGCUACAAUGGCCGAUACAGAGGGCAGCUACCUGGUGACAGGAUGCAAAUCUCCAAAGUCGGUCUCAGUUCGGAUCGGAGUCUGCAACCCGACUCCGUGAAGUUGGAUUCGCUAGUAAUCGCGCAUCAGCCAUGGCGCGGUGAAUACGUUCCCGGGCCUU
rnacentral:rRNA from 1 species